rnacentral:rRNA from 1 species
CAGCCGCCACGGUAAUACGAAGGGGGCUAGCGUUGCUCGGAAUUACUGGGCGUAAAGGGCGCGUAGGCGGACAGUUCAGUCGGGGGUGAAAGCCCGGGGCUCAACAUCGGAAUUGCCUUCGAUACUGGCUGUCUUGAGUAUGAGAGAGGUGUGUGGAACUCCGAGUGUAGAGGUGAAAUUCGUAGAUAUUCGGAAGAACACCAGUGGCGAAGGCGACACACUGGCUCAUUACUGACGCUGAGGCGCGAAAGCGUGGGGAGCAGACAGGAUUAGAUACCCCCGUAGUCCCUGUCUCUUAUAC